rnacentral:rRNA from 1 species
CAACAGGGAUUGCCCCAGUAACGGCGAGUGAAGCGGCAACAGCUCAAAUUUGAAAUCUGGCUCUCGGGCCCGAGUUGUAAUUUGUAGAGGAUGCUUUUGGUGAGGUGCCUUCCGAGUUCCCUGGAACGGGACGCCAUAGAGGGUGAGAGCCCCGUCUGGUUGGACACCGAUCCUCUGUAAAGCUCCUUCGACGAGUCGAGUAGUUUGGGAAUGCUGCUCUAAAUGGGAGGUAUAUGUCUUCUAAAGCUAAAUACCGGCCAGAGACCGAUAGCGCACAAGUAGAGUGAUCGAAAGAUGAAAAGAACUUUGAAAAGAGAGUUAAACAGUACGUGAAAUUGUUGAAAGGGAAGCGCUUGUGACCAGACCUUGGGCUUGGUUGAUCAUCCGGGGUUCUCCCCGGUGCACUCUUCCGGCUCAGGCCAGCAUCAGUUCGCCCUGGGGGACAAAGGCUUCGGGAAUGUGGCUCUCUCCGGGGAGUGUUAU